rnacentral:rRNA from 1 species
GAUGAACGCUGGCGGCAGGCCUAACACAUGCAAGUCGGGCGGUAGCACAGAGAGCUUGCUCUUGGGUGACGAGUGGCGGACGGGUGAGUAAUGUCUGGGGAUCUGCCCGAUAGAGGGGGAUAACCACUGGAAACGGUGGCUAAUACCGCAUAACGUCGCAAGACCAAAGAGGGGGACCUUCGGGCCUCUCACUAUCGGAUGAACCCAGAUGGGAUUAGCUAGUAGGCGGGGUAAUGGCACACCUAGGCGACGAGCCCUAGCUGGUCUGAGAGGAUGACCAGACACACUGGAACUGCGACACGGUCCAGACUCCUACGGGAGGCAGCAGUGGGGAAUAUUGCACAAUGGGCGCAAGCCUGAUGCAGCCAUGCCGCGUGUAUGAAGAAGGCCUUCGGGUUGUAAAGUACUUUCAGCGGGGAGGAAGGCGGUACGGUUAAUAACCGUACCGAUUGACGUUACCCGCAGAAGAAGCACCGGCUAACUCCGUGCCAGCCGCCGCCGUAA